UACAGAGGGUGCAAGCGUUGCUCGGAAUUAUUGGGCGUAAAGGGCAAGUAGGUGGUCUCAUUUGUCCGGGGUGAAAGCCUUGGGCUUAACUCAAGAAGUGCCCCGGAAACGGUGAGACUAGAGUCCUGGAGAGGGUCGUGGAAUUCCCGGUGUAGCGGUGAAAUGCGUAGAGAUCGGGAGGAACACCAGAGGCGAAGGCGGCGACCUGGACAGGUACUGACACUCAACUGCGAAAGCGUGGGGAG
rnacentral:rRNA from 1 species